AGAGUUUGAUCAUGGCUCAGGACGAACGCUGACGGCGUGCUUAACACAUGCAAGUCGAACGGAAAGGCCUCGUUUCGGGGGGUACUCGAGUGGCGAACGGGUGAGUAACACGUGAGUAACCUGCCCUUGACUUUGGGAUAACUUCAGGAAACUGGGGCUAAUACCGGAUAGGAGCUCCUGCUGCAUGGUGGGGGUUGGAAAAGUUUCGGCGGUUGGGGAUGGACUCGCGGCUUAUCAGCUUGUUGGUGGGGUAGUGGCUUACCAAGGCUUUGACGGGUAGCCGGCCUGAGAGGGUGACCGGCCACAUUGGGACUGAGAUACGGCCCAGACUCCUACGGGAGGAAGCAGUGGGGAAUAUUGCACAAUGGGUGGAAGCCUGAUGCAGCAACGCCGUGUGCGGGAUGACGGCCUUCGGGUUGUAAACCGCUUUCGCUCAUGACGAAGCUUCGUGUGACGGUAGUGGGUAAAGAAGCACCGGCUAACUACGUG
rnacentral:rRNA from 1 species